AUACGGAGGGUGCAAGCGUUAUUCGGAAUCACUGGGCGUAAAGGACGCGUAGGCGGGUUGGCAAGUCAGAUGUGAAAUCCUACAGCUUAACUGUAGAACUGCAUUUGAAACUGCUAACCUAGAGUAUGGGAGGGGGAGAUGGAAUUAGUGGUGUAGGGGUAAAAUCCGUAGAUAUCACUAGGAAUACCGAAAGCGAAGGCGAUCUCAUGGAACAUAACUGACGCUAAGGCGUGAAAGCGUGGGGAGCAAACAGGAUUAGAAACCCCAGUAGUCC
rnacentral:rRNA from 1 species